CACUGGCUGGCAAGGAGCAGAGGCAUUAUUAGCACUGACCCCCCACCGCGCCCCAUCAGCCAGACCAGAAGCAGCAGUGGCAUCCUGGGAUCCUGUCCGUUGGUGAGACACUGCCUUCCCACCAGCCUGCCCCUAACCCCACUGUCUGGGACAGGGCUGACAGCUUCCACCUCCUCGCUGUUGGAAGAAUCACAGCAGUUUGGGGAGAGGAACGGGGGAGACUCGGCAGCUGUGCAGAUCCCAUGGAAUUCAAACAUUUGCCUGGGACACUACCGUGCAUUAACUAUUUGUCAUAGGGCCUGUAAUGCUAACAGCUAAUGCUCAAGUAGCAGCUUCUGGAAUUCUGGACAGUGGAACCAGGGCUUUCAUACUAACCAGGGCAAAUCCAUAACAGAAUUUUAUGAUCUAGUGAAAAUGCCUCAGCUUGGCCUGCACUAAUGUCUGCACUGCUGCUGCCAUCAAUUAUGGCUUGUCAGUGGUGGGAAUUGCCAAAAUGAGUGUACGGGAGGCCCCCCUCCUGCAAAGACUUAUGCCCCUGCUUAACUUUACACUUCCUUAGAACUCUUCAUAGCACAUAAAGUUAUGCAGGUGCAUGAGCCCUGCAGGAUCAGGCCCUAUCUUUGCUAACCCCCUGUAAACCAGCCCUAGAAAGCCUAUCCUGGCCAGAAACAAAAGUGAAACCGACCGGUUUCCUGAUCCAAGUGGGCUGAAGAACCUGGCAGCAUUAAGGGUGAACAGAUCCGUUUGAUUUUAAAAAUCCGCUUUUGUUUGCAUAAACUGUUAUUAGGGAAAAAGGGGAGACUUGUUCUGACUUUGUAAUGUUUGUCACCUGGCAAUCUCCCGUGUUUUAUGAAGGCAGAUGUGGGCCUCUACACACAUGUAGAGAGGAAAAGGACCAGAGGAAAAAUUCUUCCAGUGCAAGCGUACAGUACAGCCAAAACUGACAAGAGCAGGGGAGAAAAGGGGGGACAAUUGUACUGUGGCCCUGAGCUCAGGCCCCCCCCCAUUGUUUAUAACUGGGCUGUAAUAGGGGUGGGGCCCCAGCAAACAUGAUGUACCUGGGGCCCUAAAUUUUAAUCUCAAUAGGCCUGCGCAGAGCCACCAUAAGCAGCCCUGCGCUGUCCCCUCCCUCCAAGACUCGGCAUAGGAAGUGUCCUGGAGAAGAGGGCAGGACUAGGGGCAGGUCUGGGCAUGAGAGGAGGAGCUGCUCUAAUUUACACUGGAGAUUAUUUUGUUGACCCGAACCCAGAUGCUGAAUGGCCCAAGUGUGACGUCAAACCAUUUCUGCCCCGCUCCUGGCAUAGCACAGAAUGGGAUCCACUUCGGAUGAACUCGAAAGCUCUUGAACGCCUGGCUCACCUGAAAUCAGCUGCUGUGAUCGAAUACCUCCCCUCAGUCCCGUUGGAUACGACAUCCUCUUCCUUCUUGUUUCUUAUGGUGACCACUGACUCCAUAUUUUCCCUAACAAAAGAAGCACAUUUGAAAGAAUUUAAGAUAAAACCAUGGAAGGACCAUUGGCUGCAUUGUAUUUCUGCCUCUUUGGCUGACACACAAGUGAGCAACAGACUUCAGCUCAAAUGAUUUCACACUCUGUAAAGCUCAGGUAUCAUUUGAACAAUAACCCGAAGCUUUCAUACUACUUAUCAAGCCAUUAAGAGAGAGAAAAGGGGGGGGGUGGCAAUAUCUUUGAGUGGAACACGCUUUCAAGCUUCACAGAGCUCUUCCUCAGGUCUGGAGAAGGUAACCAGAGCAUCCAAGAGGUAAAUACAAGGCUGGGACAACAACACCAGGAUUGCCUCUCUCAUGGCAUUUCAUUUCUUCCUCUGCCAGCUGCAACCCAGAAUUGCAAAGAUGCCGGAGAAUAAAGUGGUUUGAUGUGGGAGUGAUGAUCCCAGAUGGCUGCUGGGGAUCUUGAUAGAACAGAAGAGACUCUGCCUCAAAUGGUGUCUUGGAGUCUGCCUCUGAGAAGGUGUGUUUGUGUUUGUCCGUGUCCCAAGCUGAUGAUGGCAAUUGGAUAGACUGUUCUGGGUCAGCCUAUCAUACAGCUAGACUUGAGCCAAAGAAGUUUAGACCUGGAGCCAGAUCCAGCACUGUGCCCUCCCCUAAGGGAGGUUUGGAUCUACUGCGCUGACUCCGGUCCAUUGAAGGCUUUGAUCACUUGAAAGGGUUGCUGCUCAGAGGAACUUGACUGUCUGGUGGUGCGUAUGUGGAAGUCCAGGCUCAUCCUUCCCAGGUCUGCUGCCUGUUCCCACCCUGCUCGUUCUCCCUCACCCCAAAAGCCUUUCCUGGGAGCCCAAUGCCCCUCCCUAAACCAAAAGUAUCCUUCACAUGCCCUUGAUGUCCCACCAAAGCUGUCCCUCUGCUAAGACAGACCCUGCUAAGGCUGUCUUGUCUUUUCCAUUUUGAAAACCUAGUGGAAAUGCUUCCGAGGGCUUCCGCCCAGCACUUGACUUUACCAGAAGCCCAGCCAGUGGGCCAGUUUCUCUUGCCAGCCGAUAAGUUUUCCCUCCUGGGCAUCUCAUUUAUUCUGAAGGCUGGGAUAGCCACAGUCCCUCCGAGAAAUGAGGUGGUGUAGCAUGGGCUUCCAGAUCAAGAUGGGAUUCACUCCAGCAUCACUGGAGGGAAUGUGCCAAUACAAGCAUGCAGUAAGGGCAAAAAUGCAAAGCCAUAGACAGCAGAAAUCCAGAGACAAUCAAGCAUGUGUCACUACUGAGCAUUCUGUUGCUACUGUUUCCGACAGCAUCUGAUGUAAGUUAUUUAGGACACAUGGCUCCUAAGACAGCUUCUAAAUUUGCAGUGAGAGUCCCCAGCGGGGGUUGAACCCAGCACCUUUAACUCAGACCGCUACUACUUCAAGUACCACCACUGUUAGAUCUGUCCUUUUAUCCACUAUACAGUCCCCUCAGCUGGAGGGGAAAAACACACUGUAGGAGCAGGUUCUGUCUGCACCCAGAAUUUGGGAGCAUGCAAAAUCACCCACUGUUGCUUGUUGAAGCCCUGUGAUUACACAUCUCAUCAUCUGAUCAGCACCCACAGUUGCAAUGUGUACAUGAAAAAGCAGGGAUUUGCCUGGGCAAAAUUGCAGGCACAACUGUAAAGGCUCGGUUGAAAAAAAACUUGGCUCCUUGAGUCUGCAUUUGAAC